UAAACGUGGAAAUUGUGAAUGCUGAAUAUGUCACAAGUGUAUACAGAAAGCCAAUGUACAGAGCAAUAUUUAUACCAAAUGACUCCCCCGAUCUGGUUAGUUAUAAGCAUGCAGCAUUUAGAGCAUUGUUUAGGAGAGCCUUUACACACUACUCUAAUAAAUCGAAACAGAAACAGGAAUUGGACUUAAUUUUAAGCGAAGAUGUGAGGCAUGGUUUCUCUUCCAAAACAUUAUGGAAUCUAUUCAACAAAGUUAAACAAAGUUCAUAUUUACCUGAAACACCAAAGGUACAGAACAGUGAAAGGCAUUACUUUAAAAAGAUAGAAUAUUUGACACCAUAAAAAAUUGCAACAAAUAUAUAGAAAAGCUUACUAAUAUGAAGCUAGUUUUUAAAAAGAAAAAUGUAGUUUCCAGUUUGUUGCAC
rnacentral:lncRNA from 1 species